rnacentral:rRNA from 1 species
AGAGUUUGAUCCUGGCUCAGGAUGAACGUUGGCGGCGUGCCUAACACAUGCAAGUCGAACGAUAGUAGCAAUACUAUAGUGGCGCACGGGUGAGUAACACGUAGCUUACCUCCCUCUCAGCGCGGGAUAACGGCUCGAAAGAGCUGCUAAUACCGCAUAAGCUCACGGUCUCUAGAGGAUUGUGAGAAAAGGCGAAAGUCACUGAGAGACGGGGCUGCGGCCCAUCAGCUAGUUGGUGUGGUAAUGGCACACCAAGGCGACGACGGGUAGGGGACCUGAGAGGGUGACCCCCCACACUGGGACUGAGACACGGCCCAGACUCCUACGGGAGGCAGCAGUGAGGAAUAUUGCACAAUGGGCGCAAGCCUGAUGCAGCGACGCCGCGUGGGUGAAGAAGGUCUUCGGAUCGUAAAGCCCUUUUCUGCGUGACGAGAGAGGACGGUAGCGCAGGAAUAAGUCUCGGCUAACUACGUGCCAGCAGCCGCGGUAAAACGUAGGAGACGAACGUUAUCCGGAGUUACUGGGCGUAAAGGGCGUGUAGGCGGUUUGUUAAGUCUGGCGUGAAAGCUCUCGGCUAAACCGGGAGAGGUCGUUGGAUACUGGCAAACUCGAGGGUGGUAGAGGCGUGUGGAAUUCCGGGUGUAGUGGUGAAAUGCGUAGAGAUCCGGAGGAACACCAGUGGCGAAGGCGACACGCUGGGCCAUACCUGACGCUAAAGCGCGACAGCAUGGGGAGCAAACGGGAUUAGAAACCCCGGUAGUCCAUGCCGUAAACGAUGCCAGCUAGAUGUUCAGAGGGCGCAAGCCGUCGGGGUAUCGAAGCAAACGCGAUAAGCUGGCCGCCUGGGGAGUACGGUCGCAAGGCUAAAACUCAAAUGAAUUGACGG